GGCUGGUCCGAUGGCAAUGGGUUAUCAGAACUUAUUAACAUUAGUGUCACUAAAGUUGCUAUACCAUCCCCCCACACACUGCUACACUUGACUGGCUUAAA
ensembl:misc_RNA Y_RNA Y RNA